rnacentral:rRNA from 1 species
GAUGAACGCUAGCUACAGGCUUAACACAUGCAAGUCGAGGGGAAACGACAUCGAAAGCUUGCUUUUGAUGGGCGUCGACCGGCGCACGGGUGAGUAACGCGUAUCCAACCUGCCCACCACUUGGGGAUAACCUUGCGAAAGUAAGACUAAUACCCGAUGAUAUCUCUAUAAGACAUCUGAAAGGGAUUAAAGAUUUAUCGGUGAUGGAUGGGGAUGCGUCUGAUUAGCUUGUUGGCGGGGUAACGGCCCACCAAGGCGACGAUCAGUAGGGGUUCUGAGAGGAAGGUCCCCCACAUUGGAACUGAGACACGGUCCAAACUCCUACGGGAGGCAGCAGUGAGGAAUAUUGGUCAAUGGGCGAGAGCCUGAACCAGCCAAGUAGCGUGCAGGACGACGGCCUUAUGGGUUGUAAACUGCUUUUGUGCGGGGAUAAAGUGUGGGACGCGUCCCAUAUUGCAGGUACCGCAUGAAUAAGGACCGGCUAAUUCCGUG